rnacentral:rRNA from 1 species
GUGGGGAAUAUUGGACAAUGGGCGAAAGCCUGAUCCAGCCAUGCCGCGUGUAUGAAGAAGGUCUUCGGAUUGUAAAGCACUUUAAGUUGGGAGGAAGGGCAGUAAGUUAAUACCUUGCUGUUUUGACGUUACCAACAGAAUAAGCACCGGCUAACUUCGUGCCAGCAGCCGCGGUAAUACGAAGGGUGCAAGCGUUAAUCGGAAUUACUGGGCGUAAAGCGCGCGUAGGUGGUUCAGCAAGUUGAAGGUGAAAUCCCCGGGCUCAACCUGGGAACUGCCUCCAAAACUACUGAGCUAGAGUACGGUAGAGGGUAGUGGAAUUUCCUGUGUAGCGGUGAAAUGCGUAGAUAUAGGAAGGAACACCAGUGGCGAAGGCGACUACCUGGACUGAUACUGACACUGAGGUGCGAAAGCGUGGGGAGCAAACAGGAUUAGAAACCCGAGUAGUCC